ensembl:snRNA U6 U6 spliceosomal RNA
GUGCUCACUUUGGCAGCACAUAUACUAAAAUUGGAACAAUACAGAGGAAAUUAGCAUGGCCUCUGCCCAAGGAUGAUUUGCAAAUUCAUGAAGCAUUCCAUAUUUUU